GGGGCCGUAAAGGCUUCGACGGGGAUUCAGAAGCAUGAUAAGCGAGUAGUGCGGGCGAAAGCACUUUAAUAGUCGCAAACUUAAACUUAAACGCAGACGACGAUCUCGUUUUAGCAGCUGCCUAAGCGCGCUGCCGUCGCUUCCCGAAGUACUGCGGUCGGGAAAGCGGCGUCGAUUAGCAGUGAACGAUUCGCGCGAAUAGCCUUAUAGCGUGAAUUGUACCAAAGGCUACCGAGCGGCUGAGCCUGUUUGUCGGCGCUUCCGCGAGGGAAUUUCAAAAGACAGACUGCACUCGGAGAAGGUUGUGUAGAUGGGUUUUCGGACAGGGGUUCAAUUCCCCUCGGCUCCACCA
rnacentral:tmRNA from 1 species